rnacentral:lncRNA from 1 species
GGAUUUUACUGAGGACCAACCAGCUACUCUGCCAUCUUCCUAGAAGUUCAAGCAGACACAUUUUUAACAGCAGACAGGAAUUUAUAGGAUGAAAGAGCUAGAGCUAGAAGGGACUUUAGAGAUCCAACUCCCCUGGCUCAUGGAGGUUCUGCAGAAUACUGGUCUGAGCCUGGACUGAGCUUGCUGUGUGAUUGUUGGACAAGAUGGAGCCAAUGUGGAGGCACAGGCGAAGAAGAAA